GAUUGAUAAAUAUCCUCGUACUACAGGGUUGUUUUUUCAUAUUAAAAAAUUUACCCUUUCUACGAUGUUAUUUUCUCAUACUCGCAAUUACACUACUUUUAUGAGAUUGUUUUCUCAGAUUCAUAAAUAUACACGUUUUACGGGGUUCUUUUCUUAUAUUGAAAAAUAUACCACUUUUAUGGGUCGUUUUCUCAUAUUAAAUUAUUAGCACUAUUAUUGG
rnacentral:lncRNA from 1 species